GUCUUUGCCAUUGUCCUUGGACGUUGGUCUCCAGUUCCUUCAGGCUUGCAGCACAGUCUCUUCAGCCGGCUGCCGGACUCACACCCGUGACUGUGCAGCGAGCUUGCAGGCUUCUUCAGGCUUCUUCUGACUGGAUCCUGCCCUCUGGCACAUGGGUGGCCCUUUUGGAACCUCAUGGCCCCUGGGACUCUUCCUGUUCGGAUCCUGUCAGCCUGCCUCACGGUCCUGUCUCUAGUCAUACACUUUUUCUGUCGACUCUCUUCCUCCCCAGAGCCCUAACUCAUACCGAUGUCCAUGCGUGUGCUCAGGGUUAUAACUGUUGUGUAUCUCAAACACAUACUGAAAAAGAAAGAAAAAAAA